GAAGAGUUUGAUCAUGGCUCAGAUUGAACGCUGGCGGCAGGCCUAACACAUGCAAGUCGAACGGUAACAGGAAGCAGCUUGCUGCUUUGCUGACGAGUGGCGGACGGGUGAGUAAUGUCUGGGAAACUGCCUGAUGGAGGGGGAUAACUACUGGAAACGGUGGCUAAUACCGCAUAACGUCGCAAGACCAAAGAGGGGGACCUUCGGGCCUCUUGCCAUCAGAUGUGCCCAGAUGGGAUUAGCUUGUUGGUGAGGUAACGGCUCACCAAGGCGACGAUCCCUAGCUGGUCUGAGAGGAUGACCAGCCACACUGGAACUGAGACACGGUCCAGACUCCUACGGGAGGCAGCAGUGGGGAAUAUUGCACAAUGGGCGCAAGCCUGAUGCAGCCAUGCCGCGUGUAUGAAGAAGGCCUUCGGGUUGUAAAGUACUUUCAGCGGGGAGGAAGGUGUUGUGGUUAAUAACCGCAGCAAUUGACGUUACCCGCAGAAGAAGCACCGGCUAACUCCGUGCCAGCAGCCGCGGUAAUACGGAGGGUGCAAGCGUUAAUCGGAAUUACUGGGCGUAAAGCGCACGCAGGCGGUCUGUCAAGUCGGAUGUGAAAUCCCCGGGCUCAACCUGGGAACUGCAUUCGAAACUGGCAGGCUUGAGUCUUGUAGAGGGGG
rnacentral:rRNA from 1 species